rnacentral:rRNA from 1 species
AACCUUUAACCAAUAGUCAUGAAAAUUUUUAACAAAAAUUAAAAUCUUCAAAACUUUCAACAACGGAUCUCUUGGUUCUCGCAACGAUGAAGAACGCAGCUGAAAUGCGAUAUGUAUUGUGAAUUGCAGAUUUUCGUGAAUCAUCGAAUCUUUGAACGCACAUUGCACCCUCUGGUAUUCCAGAGGGUAUGCCUGUUUGAGCGUCAUUU